CUACGGGGAGGCAGCAGUAGGGAAUCUUCCGCAAUGGACGAAAGUCUGACGGAGCAACGCCGCGUGAGCGAUGAAGGCCUUCGGGUCGUAAAGCUCUGUUGUCAGGGAAGAACAAGUAUCGGAGUAACUGCCGGUACCUUGACGGUACCUGACCAGAAAGCCACGGCUAACUACGUGCCAGCAGCCGCGGUAAUACGUAGGUGGCAAGCGUUGUCCGGAAUUAUUGGGCGUAAAGCGCGCGCAGGCGGUUCCUUAAGUCUGAUGUGAAAGCCCCCGGCUCAACCGGGGAGGGUCAUUGGAAACUGGGGAACUUGAGUGCAGAAGAGGAGAGCGGAAUUCCACGUGUAGCGGUGAAAUGCGUAGAGAUGUGGAGGAACACCAGUGGCGAAGGCGGCUCUCUGGUCUGUAACUGACGCUGAGGCGCGAAAGCGUGGGGAGCGAACAGGAUUAGAUACCCUGGUAGUCCACGCCGUAAACGAUGAGUGCUAAGUGUUAGAGGGUUUCCGCCCUUUAGUGCUGCAGCAAACGCAUUAAGCACUCCGCCUGGGGAGUACGGCCGCAAGGCUGAAACUCAAAGGAAUUGACGG
rnacentral:rRNA from 1 species